UUAAUGAAAACCUAUGCCAAUAUGUUUCUUCAACAUGAUCAUAUAGGAUAUUAUUUACUGAAAAUAAGAAGAACCCUUGCCUAUCACAGGAACUGAUGAGUUGAUAUGUUUGUGGAUAUUUUAUGCUGAUAGGACUUAUUUUUUCUGUAUUACUCUAUACAAAUUCUGUCCUGACAAAAUCUAUAUGUUUCUUUGUGCUUUCAUACCUGGAAGAACUGACUCAAAAUAGAGCAAGAGAGAAAACUUUUCAGACACGGUCACAAAGCAACUGUAGGGACCUUUAUGUCCAUAUGGUUGGGUUCCCAAGGCAUUAGCACUGAGGUUUAUAUAGCAAAUAGAAAAAACCCUUUUCUAUUCACCUUGCCUCUAUUGAAUAAAUGACUCCAUCAUGUCAGAUCAACUUAGGAAUAACAGAUUUGUUUUUUCAUUAAGUAAUAUUUACUGUACUUGGAUUUCAUUAUAGAUAACUAGACUGUUGUCGUUUCGAAUGAUAUGUGCUAUUUGCUUUCUCCAUGUUAGAUGAGAACAUCUUGAUGAACAUGGAUUCAGUUUGACGUAAGCACCCUGAAUGCAUUCUCAGGUGUCUCUGUGUAACCUGCAAUGGAAAACACAGUAUCAGCCCUGGAAAUACACUUCUGAUUCCAAAUCAGAAUUUUGAUAUCAAUAUUUUUGUGACUUAAACAAUUUUCCAAAUAUGUAGACAUACAGUUUUAUAUCUUUUUUGGUUAUUUUGAUAACCUGAGCUCCUUUAAAAAUGCUUUGGUUUAUCUAAUGUUAAUCAAAUGUUGAGUGUAAUUUGAAUAUAGUUCUCAGAGGCUCUUCAUUUUUAGGUAAGUAUUGUAACUUCCAAACUACCGUUUGCUUCCUGGAAAAGUUUUGACAUGGUCUCCGUGAUUCUGUCCACCAUGUUUCAUUAACUGCUUACUCAGUUUCUUAUUUGAGUAACUUAAAUCUCAUGCAUAGUUGAUAUGUAAUAUUUUCUACAUAUAUAAAUAUAUAGUACUACAUUAAAAAUUCCAGUUUUACUACUGACUGAUUACAUGGAUUAUAAUUCUGAAUUUUAUGAAUUAUUUAAAUAUCUUCUUGAUUUUUCCAUAGAAAGUUUUCUUAUUUUUUGUGUGUGCUACAUAAAAGUUUGUAAAACUUUCAUUUUUGCAUUACUAUUUUUCACAAUUAUUCUACACUUGCCAUCCUUAUAACUCAAACAAGUUUAAAUUGUAUUCACUUAUUUUGCUGUAGAAAAAUAUCAUAUAUUAAGAAAGCUUCCACUUGUAAUAUUGUCAUACUUUAAUAUUUUUGCUAGAGCACAUUGGUAUGGAAAUAUUUUCAUUUCAUCAUUUAAACUUUCAUAUUACUAGUGGGGUUGAACAUUUUUACUCUGUUUUUCUUGUCCUUUAGUGCUUAUUCUUCUGAGAAUUGUACUUGCAUGGCUGAUUUUUUUGUUGGGUAAUUUUUCUUAUUGCUUUAUUGAAGUUUAAUAUUUUACUGGAAACUAUUCUUUUGCUAAUUGUAUGACUUGUAAAUAUCUUUUCUCAGUCUCUGAUUUUUAGAGCUUCAUGAAAUUGUUUAUAUUAUCUCAGUUAGUAUGUAUAUCUGCUGAAUAUCUACUAUGUGCAACUCUCAAUGCUAGGCUGAAGGAGAAUUCUAAGUUUCAUAUGAGUCUAACACUCAAGAAGUCCAUAAUCAAAGCAGGAAUGAAAUUUUAAUUUACAAGUUUAGCCUUUGUGUGUUUUGAAUUAUCUGCUGAGAGAACAAUGAGUAUUUGAAUCAUUGCACAUGGUGUUUAAUAAAGUGUUUGAGAGCAUUUAGCAAAGCCUCUAAAAAUUAGAAUUCCACUUGCCCUCUGACCCUAGAGGUCUGGUGUCUUAAAAGUCACAGAUUACAAAACUGAGAGAGGCAUCUUGGUGUGACUGAAAGAAUGUGGGCAAUGCAUCAGGAAGGGCUGGGUUCAAGUUCUGGCUCCUUCAGUUACUACCUUGCACCAUACUAGCUGAGUGUUUUAAUGUCCUUCAGACACAGUUUCUUAAGGAUGAGAUAGAAGAUGGCUUUCAUUAGGUUGCUGUGAAGAUUAAAUCAAAUAGCGUGUCUGAAAGUGCAAGGCAUAGUGGUCAGUACACAGCAAACAUUUUAGUAUAUCUUGAGAAACUAUGUAGAAGAGACAGAACUCUAGUGAAGGUAUGUAAAGGGCAGUCAUCCCAGCCCUACGCUCUGCUGCCUGGGGACAAAAAGGUAUGAUUUUCUUAAAAAAAAGUAUGAUUUUCUGCUGUCCUCAGGCACUAGUCCUCAAUGUAUCCUUCUACGACCUCCCCAAGUGAGCUCGUAAGCUUGAUUAGCAUGCUGUGGCUGCUUCCUCCUUGGAGAAAGCUAAGCUCUCUUCGGCCUCCAAUCAUAAAGCUGCUGGUAAGCUGACCCUGGCUUUACCAGGUCUGCACCCAGUGCUUAUUCAGGGGGCAAAAACCAUGACUAUGGGCACAAACAUCCUCUUUCAAUAUAUGGUUGAAAAUGAAACCAAUUAAUUGUUGAAUCACAAUGUUGUACAUCUGAAACGAAAUUAAUAUUGUAUAUCAACUCUUUUAUGUUUAAAUUUUUUGAAAAUUAAACCAAUUCUUCAGUUCUAAGAAAUUCUUUGAAUGACAUACUCCCUAUCUUAAGUCUUAGUGAAAUCCCUGUUUCCAGUAAAUCUCCAUGGUUUCCUUGGUGACAAGUUCAUGUCCAGUCCCCAUCUCCCCUAUUAAUCAGGCCAGCAUAAUACUUUUUUGUGGAAAUUCUCAAUGACGUUGGAGUUCCUGACUUCAAGAUACACACCACUACUUUUUUCCUAAAUUCAGUUACAUGCAGGAAGGGUGGACCAGAUAUGGAAAACUGAGAAUCACAUCUCAGUUCUCAACAGAACUUAAAAGGACAUUCUAAAAAGCUAAUUGUAUAAAAAUAAAGAAUUGUUAGUAGAAAUUUUAGCUUUAUUUUAUUUAACCUGUUGACAUCUAAAAGAAGAAGGGAAUAUAACUCAUUGUCCCUGAGACAGGGACCAUGGGCUUAAACAGAAUAGGGUGAGGGCCUCUGGAAAAAGCAAAGCAGGAUUUUUACAGUCAGAGCAAUGUAACUACAUGCAAGGAAAGCCUUUACUAAAACUCUCUGUUGAACGUUAAGCUCUAGAGUCAUUCUUCAGUGAAAUCAGUUAAUAUUCCCCAAAUAAAGAAGAGUAGCACAUGUUUUUAUUAUGUUAAUCAUUUAUAAUCAUGUGUAAGGUUCACCUUAGCAUGCUAAAAGGCCCAGGCCUAUGUGCUGUCUUUCCUCCUUCAGACCUGAUGAGGUGAUUCUGCAAACUGGGCAACUAAUUUAGCAUGCAGACCCAGCUGUAAACAACAUAGUAAAAGGCAGGAAGGAUUCUACCUUAAAGAUAAGAUUGCAUUUUAACACCCAGGAAGUUUAAGAAGUAAGAUUCUUAACUUACUCUUUAGCAAACUGACAAUACCUCAGCCCAUCUUGGGAGCUGGGCAGGCGGCAGUUCGAUAUGCUCCUAGACCAAGGUGCUGGUAUCCCAGAGAGAAAUCAAGACAGGAAAUUCCUUAUGUUAAGUUAAUUCUAAAUAUUCACUUAACAAGUCCACACCCCUAAGCUUUUUUUCAUGUUCCCAAAUAUCCUCUACUGCCUAUAAAACCCCUAGACAAUGCACCACUACGGGCUCUCUUGUCCCCUCCUGGCAUGAGCCAGGAGCUCUGUCGGUCCUCUCACUGUAUCUCAAUAAAAGUCUCCCUGGCUCUCCUACCUUGACUGCUAAGUUCAUUCUUUGACUCCACAAACAAGAACCCUGGCAUCAUCCCCAUGGGUGCAGAGAAAUGGGGAAAUGCUGAUACAAACACUGUCCUUCUGGAGGGCAUUUGUAAAAUGAAUCAAAACCCUUUGACACAGUAAUUCUACUUUCAGGAAAUUAUUUUAAGGGAAGAUCUAUGGGUGUAAAAUUGGCCUAUCUCAUUCUUACAAAUAGCAAAAAAAGAAAAAAAAACACAAAAAUAUAUUUGUCCAAAUACAGGGUUGUUGAGAUUUUAGUAUGUUCAUGUGAUAGAAUACCCUACAGUCAUUAAAAUGGUAAACAUAAUCUCCUGAAGUACAAUAUGAUUAAUUUUUUUAGAAGUUUGUGUACAUGUAUGAGUGUGAGGUGUG